GAUGAAGAACGUAGCGAAAUGCGAUACGUAAUGUGAAUUGCAAAUUCAGUGAAUCAUCGAGUCUUUGAACGCACAUUGCGCCCCCUGGUAUUCCGGGGGGCAUGCCUGUCCGAGCGUCAUUGCUGCCCUCAAGCACGGCUUGUGUGUUGGGCCCCGUCCUCCGAUCCCGGGGGACGGGCCCGAAAGGCAGCGGCGGCACCGCGUCCGGUCCUCGAGCGUAUGGGGCUUUGUCACCCGCUCUGUGGGCCCGGCCGGCGCUUGCCGAUCAACCCAAAUUUUUUAUCCAGGUUGACCUCGGAUCAGGUAGGGAUACCCGCUGAACUUAAGCAUAUCAAUAAGCGGAGGA
rnacentral:misc_RNA from 1 species